ACCACUGAUAAUGGCUAUUUCUGCCGCGUUCCUACAAUGGGUUUGAAGGGUGAUUCUGACAGACUUCGUGUUUUAAAAUAGGAAUUUGAACUCCUUUGCCUGUUUACAUUGAAACAAGUUUUUUUUUUUUCAAUUUAAAUCGAAUCAUAUAUAUCUAAUAGUGAAAUGCCACGGAGAAUAUAAAUUUUUAAUUUACCGUUACGGCCCAAAGCAGAAGUCCGUCGUAUUCGGCCGUAGUGAAAUUCAGUGAGACGUGGUCAGGUCUAGUGUAGCCAGAGAAUAGUCUUUGUUCGUUGUCUCGCCGAGUCAGUUGUCGAGACAGGGAUAUCAGUGAGGUGCCAUCGAACUGCGGUUGCAGGCGAAUGUAUGCAGACCCCCCUAGGAGAGUUACAGGACUUGGCGGUACACUGCGCGACCCCACACUGUCCCACGCCGCGGCCCCCCGCCACCCCACCGCCCGCCGCCUGGCCCCCCACGUCCCAAAUACAGCCCCGCCAGCCGUUGUGCAACGUAACGUACCGAUAUAAAGAUACGGCAGCAGAGUCAUCUUGUCGUGCGAGGCGGGCGCGUUCCCGGUGGCGUUGAGUCUGGCGUCCACGGAGAGUCCGGCGGCGCGGCCCCGGCGCCACGCCCGCACCGCGUGCCCGCCGCGCCGGGGGGUCAGCGCGCGGGACGUGAACACGCGACGCGCACCUUACACACACACCCAACUCGUUUCAAAGAAAACUAUAGCAAACGUUUGUCUAUUCUAGUUCUCUUCGCCGACGACACGACUAUCUACUAGUCGUGUACGUAGAAGUCGUUAGUUAAUCUAUAGGCGACUCCAGACCGCAGCGACCACAAUGAGACAGUGGUUCUGAAAAUUCUGAAUAUUGAUAUUAUAGUAACUAUAUGGAAAUUGUGUACUAUUUGGUUUCCCAAAUAAAUAAAUAAAUAAAUUAGGGCACGCCUAGUGUAUUGAUUGUCGCAAUUACCAAAUGUGAAUAGUAUCGAGGGGUGAAAGGCUAUUUGGUUUUAGCGAUAUUUUUGAAACUUUACAGGAGAGCCAUUUAAAGUUUGAAAUUUAGAAAAAAUAUUAUUAAAAAAAAUCUUCAGCCAUUUGAGUGGCAUAAAUAUAAUUGAUGUUCAAUGAAAAUCAUCGAACUGUUGAUGCUAAUACCAAAUAAAACCCAGCUUUAAAUACAAAAAUAAAUUUCGCUUAAGGUAAAUAGUCUUUCACUCCUCAGUAUAAUCUAAUAUUAUAUAAUCUUGUCAACUGGAAAUAUUUGAGAAAGACUAAUCUAAGUUAGAAGUCAUUAAUUUAUACAAACUAAGACUUACCGUUUCCCAUGUUCCAAGACAGCAUAAUAUACCCUUUAACAAAAGUCAAGGCCAGAUGUUGACUUUUCGAAUCGUGCUUGCCGUUCUGCCCUACAAAAGCUAAUAAAGCUAUUUGGUCCAUAUCGGGCGUUUGAAAGCGUAGCCGAAGGUCGAAUCGGUCCGAAUUCAUAGCGGCCGGAGACAAUGGGUACACGAGGUACGAGGAGACGCCCGAACUGAUCGGAGCUAGGGACGGCCGAGUUAUUGCUACAUCUGAAACGAUUUUGUAACUUUUUUUUUUCUACCUAAAGUAGUGGCCUUGAGAAGCUAUGUCAGCGUAACCGAACUAUAGAAGAUUCCAUGUUUCCCGUAAGGACAGAGACAGAGGAAGCCGCUGCCGGGGUGUCGGACGCAGCUGCCUCCAGCUUGACAUGGAUUGUUCUCGCAAACGGAAAUAUCGCACUGAUCGCCAAGCCAACUGAAUAAAGAUAAUUCAAUUAAUAUUUUUUAAGCGUUCUUUUACCGGAAUUUUCUAGGUAGCUCUAAUAGCUUAUCGCCUACUUUGAGUCAGGAGGUUCAAGUAGCAGUAACAUAGAAAUACUCUUCGAACUUGAAACCGUUAGAGCUAGUCGGCAAACACAGUCAUGACGGUGAAAUUCGUCCGGGUACGCAAUAUGUUCAAACGCCAUGAAUUAUAGAGAAUCGAAGUGGUUUAAUAUUCGUAAAAAAAAAUCUGUCUUGUAAUUUACAAGACAUAGCUAAACAGAGCUCCAGUACAUGUGAUAUUAUUUGGAGAAUAUAAUCUGUAUAUAACAUGUUACAUAAUCUGUGUUAUUCGGUUAAAUUAUCUGUGGUAUUGAAUUUUGGUGUUUAUCUAAACAGCUAAGAAUAAAAUAAUUUGUGGUGUACUUUACCUCAGAGAUGUUUAAAAUGUAACAAAAAUUAACAUUUAUUUAGUGAUUUUGAACUAUUAAUCAGUAAUCAUUUCGAGAAAAAAAACCUAAUUUGUUUUUUUAAUUCGCUGUUCGCUCACAACGUUCCCCGUGGUAGUCCGGGACGCAAUAGCACACUCGAAUGCCGUCUUCGACAACACACAAUGCGUCAUUGCUGCAUGAAUUUUCAUCACAGAAUUCUAUUUGUACCUCGCAACUUUUUCCCGUGUAUCCUGAGUGAAGAUAAAAUUUCAUUAACAAAAUAGCAAAAAAUCUAAACUACUAUAUAUAAUCGAAGUUUAAUAUUAACAACAUACUUUUUUGUAAAGUCUCUAGUAAAUGUGAAAACGUUUUGUAUUCCGAAAACUUCGAUGAUUGUAAUUGGUUCGAUAUGUCUACGGAUAUGACGACGUGAAUGCCGUUACCUUGAGACAUGAGGUCAAAAUAUUGUAUUGUACAGCGGCUGUCCCACAUCUAAAACCGGAAUACAUGACUGGUAAAAAUAGACGGGAUGGUGCUACAUACCCGUAUGGGCCCAAUAUAACCUGCCAGUAAGAUCACACAACUAGAAAAGAUACUAUAUUGUAUUAUAGAUAGAUAUUAUACUGUAUUAUAUUAAAUAGAUAUUAUAGGUAUAAUAAGUAAUAGAAGAUAUUAUU